AUCUACAACCAUACCACGUUGAAAAUACCACCUCUCGUCCUACCCUGAAGGUAAGCAACGUCGGCCCGAGUCAGUACCUCGGUGGGAGACCACUAGGUAACACUUGGUGUCGUAGAAA
rnacentral:rRNA from 1 species